AUUGAACGCUGGCGGCAGGCCUAACACAUGCAAGUCGAGCGGAGCGGCGGACGGGUGAGUAAUGCAUAGGAAUCUGCCUGGUAGUGGGGGAUAACGUCCGGAAACGGGCGCUAAUACCGCAUACUAUCAGAUGAGCCGAGGUAGGAUUGGCUCGUUGGUGGGGUAAAGGCCUACCAAGGCGACGAUCCGUAACUGGUCUGAGAGGAUGAGCAGGCACACUGGAACUGAGACACGGUCCAACAUCCUACGGAUGGAAGCGAUGGGGAAUAUUGGACAAUGGGCGAAAGUCUGAUCCGGCCAUGCCGCGUGGGUGAAGAAGGUCUUCGGAUUUUAAAGCACUUUAAGUUGGGAGGCGUUACCAACAGAAUAAGCACCGGCUAACUUCGUGCCAGCAGCUGCGGUAAUAC
rnacentral:rRNA from 1 species